rnacentral:rRNA from 1 species
UACGAAGGGGGCUAGCGUUGUUCGGAUUUACUGGGCGUAAAGCGCACGUAGGCGGAUUGUUAAGUCAGGGGUGAAAUCCUGGAGCUCAACUCCAGAACUGCCUUUGAUACUGAGAAUCUUGAGUUCGGGAGAGGUGAGUGGAACUGCGAGUGUAGAGGUGAAAUUCGUAGAUAUUCGCAAGAACACCAGUGGCGAAGGCGGCUCACUGGCCCGAUACUGACGCUGAGGCACGAAAGCGUGGGGAGCAAACAGG